rnacentral:rRNA from 1 species
CCUACGGGAGGCAGCAGUAGGGAAUAUUGCUCAAUGGGGGAAACCCUGAAGCAGCAACGCCGCGUGGAGGAUGAAGGUUUUCGGAUUGUAAACUCCUUUUGUUAGAGAAGAUAAUGACGGUAUCUAACGAAUAAGCACCGGCUAACUCCGUGCCAGCAGCCGCGGUAAUACGGAGGGUGCCAGCGUUACUCGGAAUCACUGGGCGUAAAGAGCGCGGAGGCGGGAUAGCAAGUCAGAUGUGAAAUCCUAGGGCUUAACCAUAGAACUGCAUUUGAAACUGUUAUUCUAGAGUAUGGGAGAGGUAGGUGGAAUUCUUGGUGUAGGGGUAAAAUCCGUAGAGAUCAAGAGGAAUACUCAUGGCGAAGGCGACCUGCUAGAACAUAACUGACGCUGAUGCGCGAAAGCGUGGGGAGCAAACAGGAUUAGAUACCCGGGUAGUC